GACGAACGCUGGCGGCGUGCCUAACACAUGCAAGUCGAACGGAGAUAAGCGCUGAUUUGAUGAUAGCUUGCUAUUGGAUUUUCUUGCUUAUCUUAGUGGCGGACGGGCGAGUAACGCGUGAGCAACCUGCCCUUCAGAGGGGAACAACAGUUGGAAACGACUGCUAAUACCGCAUAACGUGCCUUGAGGGCAUCCUCGAGGCACCAAAGAUUUAUCGCUGAAGGAUGGGCUCGCGUCCGAUUAGAUAGUUGGUGAGGUAACGGCUCACCAAGUCGACGAUCGGUAGCCGAACUGAGAGGUUGAUCGGCCGCAUUGGGACUGAGACACGGCCCAG
rnacentral:rRNA from 1 species